CUGCUCAAUGAAAUUUAAAUAGCUGCAGUAUUUUUAACUGUACAAAGGUAGCAUAAUAAUUAGGCUAUUAAUUGUAGUCUGGAAUGAAAGAUUUAAUGAAAUAAAUUCUGUCUCAAAUUAAUUUAAUAAAUUUUUUUUUUAAGUAAAAAAACUUAAAUAAUAUUAAAAGACGAGAAGACCCUUUAGAAUUUUAUAAAAUUAAUUUAAAUUAUUUUAUUUAAAUUAAAUUUUAUUUAACUGGGGAGAUUGUAAAAUUUAAAUAACUUUUACUUAAUUUAACAAAAAUUAUUGAAUAAAAUAUAAUUUUUUAAAAAAAUAAAAAUAAAUUACCUAAGGGAUAACAGCAUAAUUUUUUUUUUAAGCUCAAAUUUAUAAAAAAGUUUAUGACCUCGAUGUUGAAUUAAGAUAAUUUAAGAAGAAAAAAUCUUAAAAAUUAAGUCUGUUCGACU
rnacentral:rRNA from 1 species